AUCUCUCUACCAAUAGGAGUGCUAGUGUGCUACUGCAACUGUCGCAUAGUGCGGCUGCUACUGCUAUUAUGCCACGGCGCUUUGCCAUGGAAAAUAACAAAUCCUACCCACUCAUUCACUUAUUUUUUUGCGUUAAGAGUACUCAUCAAAACCACAUUGCCAAAGCUGCUCUGCUCUCUUUCUCAAAAACCCAAUUAUCACAAAUUCACAAGCGUGAUGACGAAGAGGAAGAAAAAUAAGAGCUUGAGGAAGGAAGAAAUAGCGGAAGACUGGUGUUUUGUUUGCAAAGAUGGUGGCCAACUGCUAAUAUGUGAUUAUGGGCGAUGCCUGAAAGCGUAUCACCCUCUAUGUGUGGGGAAAGAUGACUCAUUUUUGACAAGUGAUGGACGCUGGACAUGCGGUAAGCUCUUGUUCUAUUUUCUUCAAGCAAAUCUGAUACUGCAAUAUUCUCUUUUUUGUUGUGUGUCUGGAGAUUCUUCUUUUGCUAAGUUAUUCAUUUCAAAUAGUCAAGUGAAAAAUGAAAAAGAAUUGUACUUUUUAGGCAACGAGCUAUUCAUUUUCUAGCCA